rnacentral:rRNA from 1 species
CUUCGGGUUGAGUGGCGGACGGGUGAGUAACGCGUGAGAAUCUGCCUUGGGGUCGGGGACAACCACUGGAAACGGUGGCUAAUACCGGAUAAGCCUUUGGGUAAAAAAUUUAUUGCCCCAAGAGGAGCUCGCGUCUGAUUAGCUAGUUGGUGAGGUAAGAGCUCACCAAGGCAGCGAUCAGUAGCUGGUCUGAGAGGACGAUCAGCCACACUGGGACUGAGACACGGCCCAGACUCCUACGGGAGGCAGCAGUGGGGAAUUUUCCGCAAUGGGCGAAAGCCUGACGGAGCAAGACCGCGUGAGGGAGGAAGGCUCUUGGGUUGUAAACCUCUUUUCUCAGGGAAGAAGCUCUGACGGUACCUGAGGAAUCAGCCUCGGCUAACUCCGUGCCAGCAGCCGCGGUAAUACGGAGGAGGCAAGCGUUGUCCGGAUUUAUUGGGUUUAAAGGGUGCGUAGGCGGAUAUGUAAGUUCGUGGUGAAAUCGUCCGGCUUAACCGGAUACCCGCCAUGGAUACUGUGUAUCUUGAGUGUGGAUGAGGAAGUUAGAAUGCGUGGUGUAGCGGUGAAAUGCAUAGAUAUCACGCAGAAUACCGAUUGCGAAGGCAGACUUCUGGUCCAUAACUGACGCUGAGGCACGAAAGCGUGGGUAGCGAACAGGAUUAGAUACCCCGGUAGUCCACGCUGUAAACGAUGAUCACCAGGUGUUCGGUCAAUAUGAUUGAGUGCCCAAGCGAAAGCGAUAAGUGAUCCACCUGGGG